AAUGCUGGUGACGAUAUCGCGGGAGUCAGACUGUGGGAGAUAAGUUCCAUGGUCGAGAGGGAAAGAGCCCAGAUUACCAGCUAAGGUCCCAAAGUGUAUGCUAAGUGGUAAACGAUGUGGGGACACAUAGACAACCAGGAGGUUGGCUUAGAAGCAGCCAUCCUUUAAAGAAAGCGUAAUAGCUCACUGGUCAAGUGGCCCUGCGCGGAAAAUAUAACGGGGCUAAAGCAUACCACCGAAGCUGUAACAUCCUACGGGAUGGGUAGGGGAGCGUUCCUGCGCCGCAGAAGGGUACUCGGAAGAGUAUUUGGAGGUUCAGGAAGUGAGAAUGCCCGACAUGAGUAACGAUAAACCGGGUGAAAAGCCCGGUCGCCGUAAACCUAAGGUUUCCUGCGCAAGGGUAAUCCGAGCAGGGUAAGCCGGUCCUAAGCUGAGGCCGAAAGGCGUAAGUGAUGGAGAACGGGUUAAUAAUCCCGUGCCAGUCAAUUGGAGCGGAG
rnacentral:rRNA from 1 species